UUGUCCUCCUCCUCCGAGCCCCCGCUGGUGGCGAGGCUCACGGGCCGCGCGUGGCUGCUCCGGGACCGGGUGCCUUUGGCACCUUUGGGGUGGGGGCAGCGAUAACCGAGUCACCCGGGCAGCCGCCGAUGUUCCGGACGCGCCCAUUGGACACCGCAACAAAGAGGGGCGGGGCCUGGGCCUGGGACUCCACAGCGCCGAGCCGUGCGGCUCCGCCAUUGGCUGCAGCGUUCCCGGGCAGGCGGGGCUCCGAGUCCUGGAAGCUGGGCCGCCACGCGAAGUCCGAUGCUGCGGUGUCCCGGGAGCCCCGCGGAGGGGAGCCACGGGCCAGGGUCUGAGGUCCCGCUUCCCCGGGGCGGAGGCAGCAUCGGAGGCCCCGAGGUGGAUUCAGUGGUAGAGGGUUUGGCCGUUGGAGCAGCGUUCGCCGAGGGGCUGGGCACAGCGACCUGGCCCUUCGCAGGGCUCGGGCGAUGCACGACUUCAGCGAACCCUCCGGGACAAGUUUCUCCCCAGAUUAGCAAAUGGGGUCGGCCUUGCACCCUCUGUUAGUAGUGGUGUAACAAGGUUCCUCAACCCAGGCUGCUGCGAGACACGAGGCCGGUGACGCCCCUUCCGCUCUGCCUGGUUUGCGGAGGGAUGCUUGAAGCCAAGGAGGGGCCUUCCCACGGCCCACUAAAACGCGGCCUUCCUCCUCCUCCUCCUCCUUCCUCCUCCUCCCUCUCCUCCUCCUCCUCCUCCCUUCUCCUCCUCUUCCUCCUCCUCCUCCAUCUUCUUCUUCUCCUCUUCCUCCUCCUCCUUCUCCUUUUCGCUCCUCUGCCUCUUCCCUCAGCCUCCUUCUCUUCUUUGUCUUAUCUUCAUCUUCUUUUCUUUUUUGAGACAAGGUCUCACAGCACCCAGGCUAGCCUCAGACUUGCUAUGUAGAGAAGGAUGACCUUGAACUCCUGGCCCUGUCCUCAUCUUUCAAGUGCUGGAAUAACAGGGCCUUUCAUGCCCCAUUCAUGCAGCGCUGGAGAUGGCGCCCAAGGUUGUGGGAGGCAAGUACUCUACCAAAUGAACCACAUCUCAGGCUCAAAAUAUGCACACCCCGUGUGUGUGUGCGCGAAAGUGUGUGUGCGCGCGAUUGUGUAUGUGUGUGCACACGCAUAUACUGUGAGGCUGGAGAGUUGGCCCAGCCAGUCGAGAUCACUGUUUUUAUGGAGGAUUGGCAUUCUGGUUUUCAGCACCCAUUCCCAGCUCCAGAAACAGUGAGCGCUUCACCCUCCUGCUUUGAAAUGCCCUGCAAGUCUCUGACAGUGCAUUUGCUGACAGUCCCCAGGGCUCUGGUUGCUGUUUUCUCCUUCCCACAGAAGGGGUGAGCAGGGUGGUCUGUGAAGAUAGACGCGAAAUUCAGCAACUUUUCCAAGGGAGUAGGUGCAGGCUCCGGAGUGAAGUCACUGUGCAGGUGCCCACGGCCUCUUCACUGAGAGCUGAGCUGAGGUCUGAGGAGAGGGUCCCAGCUGCUGACACCGUGGAGCCACCCACCGCCAUGGCGGGCUGCCCCCCACCCACCACCCUCCUCCCCACCCACUACCCUCCUCCCCACCCGCCACCCUCCUCC